rnacentral:rRNA from 1 species
ACCGGAUCUCAGAUUAAGUAAGAGUACCCGCUGAAUUUAAGCAUAUAAUUAAGCGGAGGAAAAGAAACUAACCAGGAUCCCCCUAGUAAGGGCGACUGAAGCGGGGAUAGCUCACCGUGUGAAUCUGUGCAACGCUUGCUAUUAAGUGAGUGUGCACCGAAUUGUGGUCUGAAGAGGUAGCAUCGGCCGUCGUCCCGGGCCAAGUCCCUUGGAAAAGGGCAGCUGAGAGGGUGAGACUCCCGUUCUUGCCUGGGAACCGAUGUGUCAUAGCAUGCGCCUUCUACGAGUCGAGUUGCUUGGGAUUGCAGCUCAAAGCGGGUGGUAAAUUCCAUCUAAAGCUAAAUAUUGGUGGGACACCGAUAGUGUACAAGUACCGUGAGGGAAAGAUGCAAAGAACUUUGAAAAGAGAGUUAAAGAGUACCUGAAAUUGUUAAAAGGGAAGCGAAGGAAUCCAGUGUAAAGCGAAGCCAUUCUUCUCAAGCCACUUGUGGUUUGGGCGCUGUGGUUAGCUGUACUAAUUCUGGGCUUGACCUGGGACAAACGUUUAGUAAGUAGACGACUCCUCGGAGUGAGUGCUUGCUCUUCAUGUUCUGGGUCGGGCUGAGGUCAGUCACUCUGUGCUCGUGAUGAAUUAGGAAAUGGAUUUCUUUACCCCGUCUUGAAACACGGACCAAGGAGUCUAA